GGAUGGUGUGUGACUCUUCCUUAUCGAUACCAGCUGGAGUAUACGAAUGUCUGAGCUACCUAGGUCAAGUCAUGCAUCCCACCGCUCCUUAGCAAUGCCCAGAUGUGUCAAAGGAUGCUACAAUAUGAAGUAAAGCAGAGGACAGUGUGUGGGUCUUCCGUACCAACGCCGGCAUUUGUAUAUACACGUAUGUUUGAGAUACGCCCAGUCAUGCAUCCCUCCACGCCUUAUCACUGCCCAAGCGCUGAUAUGUCAAGGAUGCACCCACCAACAAUUACAAGGGAUGAGUGACGCAGAGGAUGCCGUGUGACUCUUUGUGUGGUUUUGAGUUGUUCUUUGUAAAUGUCUGCACGCGUUACACAAAUGUUUGACCAUGCAUCCCUUGACACAUUCUCUCUCUCUCUCUCUCUCUCUCUCUCUCUCUCUCUCUCUCUCUCUCUCUCUCUCGUUCUUUCUAUCUCCCUUUCUUCUCUUAUGCCUCCCUUCUUUCCUCUUCUUUUUUUCUUUACUUUUCUCUCUCUCUCUCUCUCUCUCUCUCUCUCUCUCUCUCUCUCUCUCUCUCUCUCUCUCUCUCUC